rnacentral:rRNA from 1 species
CACCACAUUGUCAAGUCGAACGGUGAAGCCAAGCUUGCUUGGUGGAUCAGUGGCGAACGGGUGAGUAACACGUGAGCAACCUGCCCUGGACUCUGGGAUAAGCGCUGGAAACGGCGUCUAAUACUGGAUAUGAGCUCUCAUCGCAUGGUGGGGGUUGGAAAGAUUUUUCGGUCUGGGAUGGGCUCGCGGCCUAUCAGCUUGUUGGUGAGGUAAUGGCUCACCAAGGCGUCGACGGGUAGCCGGCCUGAGAGGGUGACCGGCCACACUGGGACUGAGACACGGCCCAGACUCCUACGGGAGGCAGCAGUGGGGAAUAUUGCACAAUGGGCGGAAGCCUGAUGCAGCAACGCCGCGUGAGGGAUGACGGCCUUCGGGUUGUAAACCUCUUUUAGCAGGGAAGAAGCGAGAGUGACGGUACCUGCAGAAAAAGCGCCGGCUAACUACGUGCCAGCAGCCGCGGUAAUACGUAGGGCGCAAGCGUUAUCCGGAAUUAUUGGGCGUAAAGAGCUCGUAGGCGGUUUGUCGCGUCUGCUGUGAAAUCCCGAGGCUCAACCUCGGGCCUGCAGUGGGUACGGGCAGACUAGAGUGCGGUAGGGGAGAUUGGAAUUCCUGGUGUAGCGGUGGAAUGCGCAGAUAUCAGGAGGAACACCGAUGGCGAAGGCAGAUCUCUGGGCCGUAACUGACGCUGAGGAGCGAAAGGGUGGGGAGCAAACAGGCUUAGAUACCCUGGUAGUCCACCCCGUAAACGUUGGGAACUAGUUGUGGGGACCAUUCCACGGUCUCCGUGACGCAGCUAACGCAUUAAGUUCCCCGCCUGGGGAGUACGGCCGCAAGGCUAAAACUCAAAGGAAUUGACGGGGACCCGCACAAGCGGCGGAGCAUGCGGAUUAAUUCGAUGCAACGCGAAGAACCUUACCAAGGCUUGACAUACACCAGAACACCGUAGAAAUACGGGACUCUUUGGGACACUGGUGAACAGGUGGUGCAUGGUUGUCGUCAGCUCGUGUCGUGAGAUGUUGCGUUAAGUCCCGCAACGAGCGCAACCCUCGUUCUAUGUUGUCAGCACGUAAUGGUGGGAACUCAUGGGAUACUGCCGGGGUCAACUUCGAAGAAAGGUGGGGAUAACGUCAAAUCAUCAUGGCCCUUAUUGUUUGGGGCUCUCGCAUGCUACAAUGGGCGGAACAAAAGGCUCCAAUAUCCGGGGAGAGUGGAGCAUUCCAAAGCCGUCCCAGUUCGCAUAAGUCUGCAAUUCGACCUUUUGAUAAAAGCGGAGAAGAGC